AUGAACCCAGCUUUCAAAAGUUUAUCAACUUCCUCAGCUAUUGCCAUUUGUCUUUCUGAUGCAUGACUUCGAACUUUUUCCUUUGUCGGUCGGUGCUUGGGAUCAACAGCCAGACGGUGUUCCAUAACUUUAGCAUCGAUCUCUGGCAUGUCCGUCGGAGCUCAAGCGAAAACAUCCGCAUUCUUUUGUAGAAAAUUGAUAAGCUGUGUCCGCACCUCUUU
rnacentral:lncRNA from 1 species